CCGAAAGGAGGUUUUUUUGUGAAGGAACUACCAAAUAAUUGUUGCAAAAUUGGACCAAAUCAUUUUUCUAAAAUACUAGGCCAUAUUUAAUGCACAAUUGACCAAAUGGUUGGGUGUAAAAAGUUUUGAUCCACCUCUGGUGAAAAAGAUAAAUUCCCGCCGAUUCAGCUAGAAGCGGGUCAAAUUUGAACUGUAGCUGCCUCGUAGUUUGCUCUUUAUUUUUUCCAAAAAUCAUUUCUAGGUACAUAAGUAUCUUUUUAAUCAGAGAAACACCAACAAAAUUCCAAGAUUCAACCACUAGCUAGGAACGGUCAUUCCCGCCGUUUUGACCGCAUUUUGAAACGGGCAUAAAAAAAUCAAAAAAAAUCAAAAAAUUGGGAAACCUUCGCAUUGUGUCGUCAUAUGUGGCCAAGUUCCUAGGAAAAAUAACAAACUUGUAAUACGGCAAUUAUUUUAAAAAAGUGUUCUCAGAAACGAGCUAUCAUGUGUGGAGAUCAAUGGCUUUCAAGCCAAAUGAUCAAUGUUAUGGCCACAUUCAUGGCAUAGUUUGUUCAAAUGAUCUCAUAUUGUGCACAAGGGUGCAUAUUGGAAUGGCAAACAAUUUUUCCUAAGGAAGUUUUCAUUUUCGUUGGACGAAAAAACCAUUUUCCAUUUUUCGAGUGCCCGAAAGGAGGUUUUUUUGUGAAGGAACUACCAAAUAAUUGUUGCAAAAUUGGACCAAAUCAUUUUUCUAAAAUACUAGUCCAUAUUUAAUGCACAAUUGACCAAAUGGUUGGGUGUAAAAAGUUUUGAUCCACCUCUCGUGAAAAAGACAAAUUCCCGCCGAUUCAGUUGGAAGUGGGUCAAAUUUGAACUGUAGCUGCCUCGUAGUUUGCUCUUUAUUUUUUCCAAAAUCAUUUCUAGGUACAUAAGUAUCUUUUUUAUCAGAGAAACACCAACAAAAUUCCAAGAUUCAACCACUAGCUAGGAACGGUCAUUCCCGUCGUUUUGACCGCAUUUUGAAACGGGCAUAAAAAAUUCAAAAAAA
rnacentral:lncRNA from 1 species